GAUGAACGCUGGCGGCGUGCCUAAUACAUGCAAGUCGAGCGAAUGGAUUAAGAGCUUGCUCUUAUGAAGUUAGCGGCGGACGGGUGAGUAACACGUGGGUAACCUGCCCAUAAGACUGGGAUAACUCCGGGAAACCGGGGCUAAUACCGGAUAACAUUUUGAACCGCAUGGUUCGAAAUUGAAAGGCGGCUUCGGCUGUCACUUAUGGAUGGACCCGCGUCGCAUUAGCUAGUUGGUGAGGUAACGGCUCACCAAGGCAACGAUGCGUAGCCGACCUGAGAGGGUGCUCGGCCACACUGGGACUGGGACACAGCCCAGACUCCUACGGGAGGAAGCAGUAGGGAAUCUUCCGCAAUGGACGAAAGUCUGACGGAGCAACGCCGCGUGAGUGAUGAAGGCUUUCGGGUCGUAAAACUCUGUUGUUAGGGAAGAACAAGUGCUAGUUGAAUAAGCUGGCACCUUGACGGUACCUAACCAGAAAGCCACGGCUAACUACGUGCCAGCCGCCGCGGUAA
rnacentral:rRNA from 1 species